rnacentral:rRNA from 1 species
CAGCCGCCGCGGUAAUACGAAGGGUGCAAGCGUUACUCGGAAUUACUGGGCGUAAAGCGUGCGUAGGUGGUGGUUUAAGUCCGUUGUGAAAGCCCUGGGCUCAACCUGGGAAUUGCAGUGGAUACUGGGUCACUAGAGUGUGGUAGAGGAUAGUGGAAUUUCCGGUGUAGCAGUGAAAUGCGUAGAGAUCGGAAGGAACAUCUGUGGCGAAGGCGACUAUCUGGGCCAACACUGACACUGAGGCACGAAAGCGUGGGGAGCAAACAGGAUUAGAUACCCCCGUAGUCCCUGUCUCUUAUAA